AUUGAACGCUGGCGGCAGGCUUAACACAUGCAAGUCGAACGAUGAUUAUCUAGCUUGCUAGAUAUGAUUAGUGGCGGACGGGUGAGUAACAUUUAGGAAUCUGCCUAGUAGUGGGGGAUAGCUCGGGGAAACUCGAAUUAAUACCGCAUACGACCUACGGGUGAAAGGGGGCGCAAGCUCUUGCUAUUAGAUGAGCCUAAAUCAGAUUAGCUAGUUGGUGGGGUAAAGGCCCACCAAGGCGACGAUCUGUAACUGGUCUGAGAGGAUGAUCAGUCACACCGGAACUGAGACACGGUCCGGACUCCUACGGGAGGCAGCAGUGGGGAAUAUUGGACAAUGGGGGCAACCCUGAUCCAGCCAUGCCGCGUGUGUGAAGAAGGCCUUUUGGUUGUAAAGCACUUUAAGCAGGGAGGAGAGGCUAAUGGUUAAUACCCAUUAGAUUAGACGUUACCUGCAGAAUAAGCACCGGCUAACUCUGUGCCAGCAGCCGCGGUAAUACAGAGGGUGCGAGCGUUAACCGGAAUUACUGGGCGUAAAGCGAGUGUAGGUGGCUCAUUAAGUCACAUGUGAAAUCCCCGGGCUUAACCUGGGAACUGCAUGUGAUACUGGUGGUGCUAGAAUAUGUGAGAGGGAAGUAGAAUUCCAGGUGUAGCGGUGAAAUGCGUAGAGAUCUGGAGGAAUACCGAUGGCGAAGGCAGCUUCCUGGCAUAAUAUUGACACUGAGAUUCGAAAGCGUGGGUAGCAAACAGGAUUAGAUACCCUGGUAGUCCACGCCGUAAACGAUGUCUACUAGCCGUUGGGGUCCUUGAGACUUUAGUGGCGCAGUUAACGCGAUAAGUAGACCGCCUGGGGAGUACGGCCGCAAGGUUAAAACUCAAAUGAAUUGACGGGGGCCCGCACAAGCGGUGGAGCAUGUGGUUUAAUUCGAUGCAACGCGAAGAACCUUACCUGGUCUUGACAUAGUGAGAAUCCUGCAGAGAUGCGGGAGUGCCUUCGGGAAUUCACAUACAGGUGCUGCAUGGCUGUCGUCAGCUCGUGUCGUGAGAUGUUGGGUUAAGUCCCGCAACGAGCGCAACCCUUUUCCUUAUUUGCCAGCGGGUUAAGCCGGGAACUUUAAGGAUACUGCCAGUGACAAACUGGAGGAAGGCGGGGACGACGUCAAGUCAUCAUGGCCCUUACGACCAGGGCUACACACGUGCUACAAUGGUAGGUACAGAGGGUUGCUACACAGCGAUGUGAUGCUAAUCUCAAAAAGCCUAUCGUAGUCCGGAUUGGAGUCUGCAACUCGACUCCAUGAAGUCGGAAUCGCUAGUAAUCGCAGAUCAGAAUGCUGCGGUGAAUACGUUCCCGGGCCU
rnacentral:rRNA from 1 species